rnacentral:rRNA from 1 species
UACGUAGGUGGCAAGCGUUGUUCGGAAUUAUUGGGCGUAAAGGGCGCGUAGGCGGCCAGCACAAGUCAGUUGUGAAAUCUCCGAGCUUAACUCGGAAAGGUCAACUGAUACUGUGCGGCUAGAGUGCGGAAGGGGCAACUGGAAUUCUUGGUGUAGCGGUGAAAUGCGUAGAUAUCAAGAGGAACACCUGCGGCGAAGGCGGGUUGCUGGGCCGACACUGACGCUGAAGUGCGAAAGCUAGGGGAGCGAACGGG